UGUGUAAACUGCUUUUUUGGCCAGAAUAGACUGGUUGACCUGCGGCAGUGUAUGUCCUGUAUGACAGAUGAACAGCUUUGUAACGUUGAACAGAUGGGUCUCCGAAAGUGAACUGUUGUGUUUAAAGAGAUUCAGAGAAGAGACACGAUGGGGAUUGUCCACUAGGACAAUCAGACAGACAAAGCCUGUGUUUUUAUUUUGAAAGUUAGGCAGAAAGGUUAAUGCUCUGUGUUUGGAAUAGGUGCAAAGUCUGGAUGUGGGUUGGACAAUAUUCAAUGGAUGACUUCAGUUAUAGGGAUUCAUUUGGUGUUGGAAUUUACUAACCAAAUACAAACUUUUUCUGUAUGUGAAUGGCCUUGGAUUACUGUAAGAAAAUCAUUUAUUUGUAGACUUGAAACUAAAUUCCCACACAUUCCUAAUUGUUAAUUGCAAUGAGAGUGUCCCAUAGAGUCCAGUGAGUUUAAACAAAAGCAGACAGCCUGGGGAAACAGACAGAAUUCUUGAGAUUUCAUUGUUUUAUUGAGGUCGAUACACACUAAAGCACACCUGAGCUCAUUCACAUGGCCCACCAGCUGAGAGCUUCUCUGAGGAAACCACUCAGCCUGUGUGAAUCAUAUUUCCUGCAUGUAAAAACAUUGUAACAGAGAUCCCGCUGCUGCAAUCUGCUCACAGUGAACUCUCUGUUUUACUGAGGAUGUCAGUCAAGAAAGAAUUGCUUGUACAGAAGUUUAUACCCUGAGAAAUAAAAAUUAUUUGACAUAA